CACAAAAUUGGAUCCCAGGGACCUCGACAGUAAUCUUUGGACAUUAUCUCCUUAAUUAUAGAAGACAUCUGUUAUUCAUAGCCUUGGAGACUGCCUUAUUUGCUUUAAAAUCCACACAGCUGCGUGUGGCCCAGCUGCUGGUGCCUGUGCUCUCCUUGCCGAAUUUGAGCACGUUGAGGCUGGUGUAACCCACGCUGGGCAAGGAGCUGCAGUCGGGACUGGAAGACGCUGAGCAGCUCUCCCGAGGAGGUGUGCGACCAGUGCUGCUUGCCUCUGUCCUCUGCCUGUAUCCAUGCUGCAGAAGCCUCUCUUGUUUGCAGAGUCUUGGGAAAGAUGAACGCAAUCUGCAUCAAAAUUAAAUGGCAGAUUUGCUUUAGUUUCUGUUACUACAUAGAAUUCAGAUUCCAGUGCGUUGUCUUUCUACUGUUUAGUAUUUUACACUGUAUUGUUCACUGUAUUUCACUGUCCUGCUGUGGACAGUGAAAAAGAAACCACAAAAUCCCCACGCUGAAUGCUGUGCUGAUACCAGAUAAUAUCAGUUGGGUAACUCGGCCUUAAUUACUCCAGUCUGUAAAAAAUAUUGAAAGGGUGGAGCCCUAAAGUGGGCAAGGCAAAAUCUGGAUCUGCAGCACAAGUCAUGCAAAGUGACAAGAGGUCACUGGAUA